UACGUAGGGGGCAAGCGUUGUCCGAAAUCACUGGGCGUAAAGCGCGCGCAGGCGGCGAUCUACGUCCGGGGUGAAAGCCCAGAGCUCAACUCUGGGACUGCCUUGGAUACGGGAUCGCUUGAGGAUCGGAGAGGCAAGGGGAAUUCCACGUGUAGCGGUGAAAUGCGUAGAUAUCUGGAGGAACACCGGUGGCGAAGGCGGCAUCCUGGACCGGUAUUGACACUGAGGCGCGAAAGCCAGGGGAGCAAACGGGG
rnacentral:rRNA from 1 species